UACGUAGGUGGCAAGCGUUGUCCGGAUUUACUGGGCGUAAAGAGCGCGCAGGCGGUCGUUCAAGUCGCGUGUGAAAGCCCCCGGCUCAACUGGGGAGGGUCACGCGAUACUGAUCGACUCGAAGGCAGGAGAGGGUAGUGGAAUUCCCGGUGUAGUGGUGAAAUGCGUAGAUAUCGGGAGGAACACCAGUGGCGAAGGCGACUACCUGGCCUGUUCUUGUCGCUGAGGCGCGAAAGCUAGGGGAGCAAACGGG
rnacentral:rRNA from 1 species